UACGGAGGGUGCAAGCGUUGUCCGGAUUUAUUGGGUUUAAAGGGUGCGUAGGCGGCUGAUUAAGUCUGGGGUGAAAGCCCGUUGCUCAACAACGGAACUGCCCUGGAAACUGGUUAGCUUGAGUACAGACGAGGGUGGCGGAAUGGAUGCUGUAGCGGUGAAAUGCAUAGAUAGCAUCCAGAACACCGAUUGCGAAGGCAGCUACCUAGACUGUAACUGACGCUGAGGCACGAAAGCGUGGGGAG
rnacentral:rRNA from 1 species